AGAGUUUGAUCCUGGCUCAGAACGAACGCUGGCGGCGUGCCUAACACAUGCAAGUCGAGCGCGAAUGGAGCAAUCCUAGUAGAGCGGCGCACGGGUGAGUAACACGUGGGUAAUCUGCCUGGAAGUCCGGGACAACCUGCCGAAAGGCUGGCUAAUACCGGAUAAGCCCACAGGGUCUUCGGACCCCGAGGGAAAAGAUGGCCUCUGCAUGCAAGCUAUCACUUCCAGAUGAGCCCGCGACCCAUCAGCUAGUUGGCGGGGUAAUGGCCCACCAAGGCAACGACGGGUAGCUGGUCUGAGAGGACGAUCAGCCACACUGGAACUGAGACACGGUCCAGACUCCUACGGGAGGCAGCAGUGGGGAAUUUUGCGCAAUGGGCGAAAGCCUGACGCAGCAACGCCGCGUGUGUGAUGAAGGUCUUCGGAUCGUAAAGCACUUUCGACUGGGACGAAAACCCGCUGGCUAACAUCCAGCGGUUUGACGGUACCGGGAGAAGAAG
rnacentral:rRNA from 1 species